GUGCCAGCCGCCGCGGUAAUACGUAGGUGGCAAGCGUUGUCCGGAUUUAUUGGGCGUAAAGGGCGCGCAGGCGGUUCGUUAGGUCCGAGGUGAAAUCUCCCGGCUCAACUGGGAGGGGUCUUCGGAUACCGGCGGGCUUGAGGUGAGCAGAGGUGAGCGGAAUUCUGGGUGUAGUGGUGAAAUGCGUAGAUAUCCAGAGGAACACCAGUGGCGAAGGCGGCUCACUGGGCUCCACCUGACGCUGAGGCGCGAAAGCGUGGGGAGCGAACCGGAUUAGAUACCCGCGUAGUCC
rnacentral:rRNA from 1 species